rnacentral:rRNA from 1 species
AGGACGAACGCUGGCGGCGUGCCUAAUACAUGCAAGUCGAACGGAGUCAAUUCGGUGGUAACACCGGAGAAGACUGAGUGGCGAACGGGUGCGUAACACGUGAGCAACCUGUCCCAAAGACCGGGAUAACACCGGGAAACCGAUGCUAAUACCGGAUGUCCCCAUUGGUCCGCAUGGACUGAUGAGGAAAGGAUUCUGCUUUGGGAGGGGCUCGCGGCCUAUCAGCUUGUUGGUGGGGUAAUGGCCUACCAAGGCGACGACGGGUAGCUGGUCUGAGAGGACGAUCAGCCACACUGGGACUGAGACACGGCCCAGACUCCUACGGGAGGCAGCAGUAGGGAAUCUUGCGCAAUGGGCGAAAGCCUGACGCAGCAACGCCGCGUGGGGAUGAAGGCCUUCGGUUGUAACUCUUUAGUGGAACGAAUUGACGGUACCACAGAAGAGCCCGGCAACUACGCGCCAGCAGCCGC